UCUGGUUCAGAUUGAACGCUGGCGGCAGGCUUAAUACAUGCAAGUCGAACGGUAGCAGCAGGAAGGCUUGCCUUCUGGCUGACGAGUGGCGGACGGGUGAGUAAUACCUGGGAAACUGCCUAUAAGAGGGGGACAACACCUGGAAACGGGUGCUAAUACCGCAUAAGCCCUGAGGGGAAAAGGAUGGGAAACCAUGCGCUUAUAGAUGUGCCCAGGAGGGAUUAGCUAGUUGGGGAGGUAAAGGCUCACCAAGGCGACGAUCUCUAGCUGGUCUGAGAGGAUGAUCAGCCACAUUGGGACUGAGACACGGCCCAAACUCCUACGGGAGGCAGCAGUAGGGAAUAUUGCACAAUGGGGGGAACCCUGAUGCAGCCAUGCCGCGUGUGUGAAAGAAGGCCUUCGGGUUGUAAAGCACUUUCAGCGGGGAGGAAGGCUGGAGCUCCAACAGGGCUUUCAGUCAGACGUUACCCGCAGAAGAAGCGCCGGCUAACUCCGUGCCAGCCGCCGC
rnacentral:rRNA from 1 species